rnacentral:tRNA from 1 species
UUCCCCGAUGGCGCAGCGGUAGCGCAGCUGACUGUUAAUCAGCGUGUCGCAGGUUCGAAUCCUGCUCGGGGAGCCAG